GCUAGUACUGGGAACAAACUCCGUUGAAACACAGCUGUGACAGAGGUCACAUAAAUCAUCUCUAGCAGCAUGCAAAGGGUCUGUUCAGAACUGGAAAGGUAAUGUUCAUUUGCAUGCUACUUAUCUUUUACUCUGCCUUAAAGCUUGAACAAAACCCUCAAGAAAUGGAAACAGACUGCCUUCAAACACCUUCAGAAUUUGCUCAAGAGCUAUCAUGCUUAAGACCAUGGUAAUUUACAUGGAACAAGUCCUGGUAAAACAGCAUUGCAGAAUCUGACACUGUCAAAAAUAUUUCUUCUGCAAACAAGAGCAAGGCAAAGUCCGCAGACUCCUCAACUCUCCCUCUGUAUCAGUGUUGUGAGACUUCUACAUUAUUUUUUGGCCUAUUUAGUAAACUUGAGGGAUAAUAGUUGUCUUUGGCUGGUGUGUGUGUGUGUGUGUGUGUACAUUGUGCCUUGAACUAA